UAACUAUCUCUCUCAGCAGGGGUGACUGGUGCUUCCUGAGUCUGCGGGGGCACUAGAUUGCUAACGGGGGGCCCAGUGGCUGAUCACCAACCAGGGGGAGGUCUCCCAGAGGCCAAGCACUGAGCCCAGAAUCACCACUGGCUUACCAGGGGAUGCAUGGCCAAACUCCCUACGCGUCACCAGUGCUCUCCAGCUGUAGAAGAAGUUGGGGAGACAUCCAAGGCAAGCUUAAGAUGUUUUCCACUGAAGCGCAGCUUCAUUCGAAGACCAUUUGGAAAGCGAUGUGGUGGUAUGAUUGUGGCAGGUGUGCCUGAGAACGUGGCCAAACUUUACCUUGGCAAAUGGCGGAGGUUACCAGGGACCACUCAUAAAGCAGGUCGCUCCUGCAGUGCACCUGCUGGCCAGAUGCAGCUUUCCUUUCUGAGCUGGAUCUCACCGAACAAAGCAUAA
rnacentral:lncRNA from 1 species